GAAGAGGGUGAAUCGCUUUUUUCAGCUGAAGAAAGUGCAGCAGUUAGUGAGAAUCCAUGUGCAGCAGCAGCGUGCUUUAGCUGAUGGAAUUGUUUAGAGAGUGGGCAAGGAAAGCCUCGUCGGAGAUGACAAGGGAUCGCCGCAGCAGUGUCCAGAGAAAGCAUGACAGCGAUCGCUUAUCUCGGGCUAAAUGCUUAAUCGCGUUCUUUAUAAGCGCGGUGAUGCUUCCAAGUAUUAUGAUUCCACGACUCUUAUCGGUGCUCCGAAUAAUUUGAUGACUUGGAUGAUCGAGACCUCAUCCGAAUCCUAUAACUUGUCGGGUUGGAUAUCUGCUUUUGGCGGGUCGGUAAUGGGUUGGGAUUCUGAUCCGACAACCCGAACCGACCAGUAACGGUAUCGGAGUCGGACCUGUUCGUGACCCGAUGGCGCCACCGUCAUAUCUCGGUGGUCGAUCAGUCUUUUCCGACAGCUCCAACAUUAGUGGCGGAGGAGAGUCGGAGGCGGGGCGGCUUUUGAGGACGAGCAUCUCGAGAGCUACCAUCACCAGAAUCGAGCAGACGUCCCGCGAGAUCGAAACCCUAACCCCGAUCCUGGAUGAAUCUAUGAAACCCUGAAGGCAGAUCAAAACCGGUGGAGGGAUGAAGACGGCUUGGAGGUCCCUUCCUUGAGGACCGAGAUGGAAGGUGCAAGUCGGCGAAUUUGAUUGUGGUGCAUCGGGCGAUCGUGGCCAUAAAGGAUGUGGAUUGCUAUGUUCUCUUCUUCAGAUAGUACUACCACUUGCUCAUGAAUAUGAAGCCUUUGGUGCAUGUCUGCAUGACAAUUUCAACCAAUGCAUUUUUGGAAGAUUGUGAUAGUAGGUGUUUUGAAUUUCUGUUGUUUUGUUUUUUUUUUUAUCCUAACCACAGCAAUCUUUGAUAUUAACGAACUGGCUUAAUUAUCAUGACCUACAGUUUAGAGCAUUUUUUCCUCUUUCUGAUGCUGAAGUAAGAAUUUUUUUAUUAGUAUUAUUUAGCUAAAACUAUUGCCAAAAUUAUUUUUGUGUCUUUGGUUCUGUUCGUAUAUUGCUGGAGACAACACAUUUGUUUGAAACAUGUUAAUUUUUUAAGAAAUUGUCAAGUCAUAUUUUUCAUUAGAUUAAUCUUGACAUAGUUUAGAUCCUCAUGGUAUCAACUUUCUAAGUAGAAAUAACAGUUUGCUCAUAGUUUUCUGAGAAAGAGUCAGUGGUUGCAAUUGCUUCAUGAUGCAUGUUAUGUCUAGUAACAAUCCUGGGGCUUAGUUUGAGAAACGUGUAACCUAUGUUGGUGUUACAUACUGGGGAUGGUUCAUUGAAGAGUUACCCAUAAAUGUUUUAUGUCAGAAUAUAAUAUCUGUCAGGACUUUCGUAAACUGUGUUUAUAACUGUAUGGUUAUAAGGGUGAUCAAGUACUUAUAGAUAUUGCAGUUGGGAUCCUUUUAAAGUAGGGAUGAAAAUGGAUGAUGAUUUUUGUAAAAUAUGGACUUCAUCAAACUACAAUCAAGUUAUGCAAGAACUUUAAUAGGGAUGGAAAUGGAUUAUGAUGUUUAUAAAAUAUGGACCUCACAGAACUACAAUCGAGUUAUGAGAGAGCCAGGCUCAAACAUAUUAUUUUAAAUUUGGUUCUGACCCAAGAAAUAUGAUUCUUGUAUGAUGAUCUUGCUCCAGUGUUGGCAGAAUUACAAUAUGUCCACAUAUAUAUGGGAAUGCAGUAGGCAUUACAUAUCUGAUAUGGAGCUCUGAAUAAGUUAAAUUGAUUUAAGAGAGAAAUUUGUGAUGAAGUGAUUAGAAUCAAAUUAGGCUUUGGGCACCCUCAACCCUAUCAAAAUCAAAGGGGUGCAGCACCCUUCAAUAAUCCCAAACCAAAGACCAGCCGGCCCUAAGGAAGUUCUCCAGCCGAGAAUAAGAGAAGAAGACAAAGAGAAGAGAAGGAACUACUGCUGGUUCUUCUUCCCAAACUGUCGCAACCUUGUCUUCCUUUAACCUGUAAGUUCCAGUUUGCCUAGGAUAACUUCCUAGCUGAGAGCAGCAACAUAAGAAGAUGAGGAGAAGAGGAAGAAAGCCUAGACAACCUUUCUCCAGCAGUAGCCGAGACCAGCAAGCAAGGAUCUUCUUUCAGCCUACUGCAGAAUUCUGCAAUAGAGAAUCAUCACAAACCCACAGCUUCAUCUUCGUCCUCUACAUCCAAAGACGAAGUAGCAACUACUACAAAAUCAACCUCUUCUGCAGUGCCUAAGAAGGGUACUGUCGGUUGAGAGAUCAAGGUGGAAGAAAGGGAGAAAUGACAGUAAGCGUUCUGCCGUGAUUUGUCCCUGCUUCUCGUGUGAGAACUUCCAAACAAUUGUCACUCGAGAACUCUUUGUUUUAGUUUCUUGUUUUAGGCACUCUAAAUUCACAGUAAGAGUAGAUUACUUUUUUUUUUUUCUAAAUUAUGUUUAUUAUAGAAAAACAUAACUCCAUCAAAAUUUUUCAUCUGAGAGGUGACGGCUCAAUAGAUCAUCAAGCCCGAAACCCAUACAGAUCAGUGAUUGGAGAAGUUUUCAGUCAAGUCUGAGGUAGUUGUGAUUUAUGAACAAUGGUAUCGUGUUAAGCAUGAGCUAUAAGUUCAAGUUUCCAUUACUGCUUUGAUUUUCA